rnacentral:rRNA from 1 species
CUGUGGCCAGCCAUACCACCUUCAACACACCUGCUUUUGUCUCAGCUCAGAAGCUAAGCAGGGCUGGGCUUGGUUAUACUUGGAUGAGAGACAACGUAGCCACGCACAGU